GACGAACGCUGGCGGCGUGCUUAACACAUGCAAGUCGAACGGAAAGGCCCUGCUUGCAGGGUACUCGAGUGGCGAACGGGUGAGUAACACGUGGGUGAUCUGCCCUGCACUUCGGGAUGAGCCUGGGAAACUGGGUCUAAUACCGGAUAGGAGCCAUUUUUAGUGUGAUGGUUGGAAAGUUUUUUCGGUGUAGGAUGAGCUCGCGGCCUAUCAGCUUGUUGGUGGGGUAAUGGCCUACCAAGGCGGCGACGGGUAGCCGGCCUGAGAGGGUGGACGGCCACAUUGGGACUGAGAUACGGCCCAGACUCCUACGGGAGGCAGCAGUGGGGAAUAUUGCACAAUGGGCGCAAGCCUGAUGCAGCGACGCCGCGUGGGGGAUGACGGCCUUCGGGUUGGAAACUCCUUUCGCUAGGGACGAAGCUUUUUGUGACGGUACCUAGAUAAGAAGCACCGGCUAACUACGUG
rnacentral:rRNA from 1 species